rnacentral:rRNA from 1 species
UACGAAGGGGGCUAGCGUUGCUCGGAAUCACUGGGCGUAAAGGGCGCGUAGGCGGACUUUUAAGUCGGAGGUGAAAGCCCAGGGCUCAACCCUGGAAUUGCCUUCGAUACUGGGAGUCUUGAGUUCGGAAGAGGUUGGUGGAACUGCGAGUGUAGAGGUGAAAUUCGUAGAUAUUCGCAAGAACACCGGUGGCGAAGGCGGCCAACUGGUCCGAUACUGACGCUGAGGCGCGAAAGCGUGGGGAGCAAAC